UAUGUGCACGUGUAAAGGUGUUUAUAUACGUGGGUGUGUGUGUGCGUAUAUGUGUGUGAAUAGGGGUGCGUAUGUGUAUGUUGCUGUAGCUGUAUGUGUAUAGGUGGGUGUGUGUGUGUGUGUGUGUGUGUGUGUGUGGAGGCGUCUGUAUAGGUGUGUGUGUGCAGGUGUGCGUGCGUGAGAGAGUGUUAGGUGGAGCUGCUCUUGGGGAAGUUGGGAUAAAGGACCGCCGCUGUCACAGCAACCAUCACCACGACGACGGGCAUCCAGGACCUCCAGCGACCCUGUAGGACACACACAAUAAAGUUAACGUCAUUCAACUGAUUUCGACAAACACUUCCCCACCAGAGAAGCAACCCGGGAGCAGGAGGAGGAGAAAGAAACGAGAGAUUAAAAAGGGAAGAGAUGGACAGCAAGCUCAUCCAAUUAAAUCAUGCCAUCAAGCAAUCAGGAAAGCGGAAAAUAACAAGUGAUGAUAUCAAGCAACAAGCCAAGCGAAAGGGGCUUUGGGGGAGGGGAAGAGAAAGACAGAGAUGAACAGAGAGAGAGAGACAGACAGACAGACAGACAGACAGACAGAGAGGAUGUCUGGAUCCUGGGGUUACUGAUGAGGGAGGGCUCAAGGGAUAGGUCAUGUGACAGCAUGAAGACAGGUUGACAGUUGGGUUAAUUAGAAACCAAC